UUCCUACGGGUGGCAGCAGUGAGGAAUAUUGCACAAUGGGCGAAAGCCUGAUGCAGCAACGCCGCGUGAGGGACGAAGGCCUUCGGGUCGUAAACCUCUUUUCUGGGGGACGAGUAAGGACGGUACCUCAGGAAUAAGUCUCGGCUAACUACGUGCCAGCAGCCGCGGUAAAACGUAGGAGGCGAGCGUUAUCCGGAUUUACUGGGCGUAAAGCGUACGCAGGUGGCUUCGUGAGUCGGACAUGAAAGCUCCCGGCUUAACUGGGAGAGGUUGUUCGAUACUGCGGGGCUUGAGGUUGGGAGAGGGACGUGGAAUUCCCGGUGUAGUGGUGGAAUGCGUAGAUAUCGGGAGGAACACCAGUGGCGCAAGCGGCGUCCUGGCCCACACCUGACGCUGAGGUACGAAAGCGUGGGUAGCAAACAGGAUUAGAUACCCGUGUAGUC
rnacentral:rRNA from 1 species